UGUGCCUUUUUGUUUUUGCGCAUUGUGGCCCGAGGUAUGCCAUCUCAAUUAGGUGAGAUGAGUUGUGUGGAGAAGCACACUUGCAGAUUCUGCAUAUCGUCUAUUCUAAUGCACGAAGGCAAGGAUGUCGUAUGCAUGAAGUGUCUUGAGGUUGUUUGCAGGCACAAAACCUCCUAAAGCUGGCUUUGUAGCACUAGCUUCAAGUGCUUCAAAACGUUCCAGGGAGUGUGACAGGGGCCACACAGGUGCACAGAUGUCUUUUCACUUGGGAAAAUAUGAAAACAUGUGUUGUUACAAGAUACAGUCACAUUUAGUUACAGACCUUAUAUCUGCAAACGUUACCCUCAUAACGCAUUGCAACCGGCUUACAACCAUGCAUAAUAAAAGGCAUGGGUCACACGUCUAUCAUCAUUAUUUAAAGGGGCCUCUCUCAACAAUUUUGUCUGAAACUCAAGUGUAAAAAAUGCACACACAUUAUAAAAUGGAUCCACAGGCACUCAGGACAAUACUAUAGCCAAAUGUAACCGAUCAACAGCAAAAGAAAAACAAAGAAAAAACACAAGUGUAUCCAGUAGUAGCCAGAUCACCCAUAAAGCCGACCACAGCACAUCCGUCCAAUGCUAUAUAUAUACUCUUAUUCAUCCACAAGACAACGACAACACCAACGACAUGAGAAGACAGAAAAUAUUUUUCCCCCUUCUUGAGCAUUCUAAGAGUGAGACUUUGUUAUGUGUGCAGUUAAAGAGUGCAUUUGUUGUUCACGAGACGCACAUACAUAAACUACACGGGUAUCACAAUGAACACGUUGAGAGUGCAUUUCACGACAGCGUGUGCCUUGGUGCAUUACACAACAUUCAGGGAUCAAGAGUGAAAUUGUGAGCAACAACAGACAGCAGAGUUGCGUGCAGCCAAAGAAGCCAAAGUGGCCAAACAGUGGCACGGAAGUCAGAAGGCUCUAAACCGAUCAAUCACAGCUUUCCAAUAUAUUUCAUUGCAAAAACCUGCCUUUUCGCAGCAAGGUUUUCUUUGGUUCUUACAACCCAAUUUGUGUGGAUGGUAGUGAUGCAAAAUCAUCGAUAUAGCACUGUCACUACAUUGCAACUUGUGUUCGAUAGCACUGUCGAUAAUGUUAAAUGCGCAAUGUUCAGCACGUAAACACUGGAACAUAAACUUGGUGACGUUACACCAUUCCAAAUUGUAUAAACUGAAUACCACUGAUGGCUAGUUAUCGCAAAAUGUUUUGUAAUGUCACUAGACAAGAAUUUCAACAUUAUCAACUGCACUGUCAAGAGCGAAUUACCACAAUGCUAUCAUUUGUUUUUAUUAAACUAUCGAUAGCCAUUUCUUACACUAUUUGUCGUUUAAAAAGCUAACUGUUUACCAAUAGUGAUGCAUCACUAGUGGAUGACUGUCUAACUGAGCAAACUGGCGUGGUCCCAGAGACUGCGUAAUCAAAAAUGGUGAUUUGACGUUCGAUCAUAAUACAGUCGACUUCCGUUAAUUCGACCCUGACGGGACCGACGAAACUGAUCGAAUUAUCCGGGAGGCCGAAUUAAACGAUGCA
rnacentral:lncRNA from 1 species